UACGGAGGGUGCGAGCGUUGUCCGGAAUCACUGGGCGUAAAGGGCGCGUAGGCGGCCUGAUAAGUAGGGGGUGAAAUCCUGCGGCUUAACCGCAGGGCUGCCUUCUAAACUGUCAGGCUAGAGCACAGUAGAGGCAGGUGGAAUUCCCGGUGUAGCGGUGGAAUGCGUAGAGAUCGGAAAAGAACACCAACGGCGAAAGCAACUCUGCUGGGCCGACACUGACACUGAGAGACGAAAGCUAGGGGGAGCGAAUGGG
rnacentral:rRNA from 1 species